GGGGAAUAUUGCACAAUGGGCGCAAGCCUGAUGCAGCGACGCCGCGUGGGGGAUGACGGCCUUCGGGUUGUAAACUCCUUUCGCAACUGACGAAGCUUUUUGUGACGGUAGGUUGAGAAGAAGCACCGGCUAACUACGUGCCAGCAGCCGCGGUAAUACGUAGGGUGCGAGCGUUGUCCGGAAUUACUGGGCGUAAAGAGCUCGUAGGUGGUUUGUCGCGUCGUGUGUGAAAUUCCGGGGCUUAACUUCGGGGUUGCAUACGAUACGGGCAUAACUUGAGUGCUGUAGGGGAGACUGGAAUUCCUGGUGUAGCGGUGAAAUGCGCAGAUAUCAGGAGGAACACCGAUGGCGAAGGCAGGUCUCUGGGCAGUAACUGACGCUGAGGAGCGAAAGCAUGGGGAGCGAACA
rnacentral:rRNA from 1 species